AAAAGAAAGGAAUCCUGGGUAGCUCUCCCUUCAAGUCAAGCAUCUUGU
rnacentral:pre_miRNA from 1 species